rnacentral:rRNA from 1 species
GCGACGACGGGUAGCCGGCCUGAGAGGGUGACCGGCCACACUGGGACUGAGACACGGCCCAGACUCCUACGGGAGGCAGCAGUGGGGAAUAUUGCACAAUGGGCGCAAGCCUGAUGCAGCAACGCCGCGUGAGGGACGACGGCCUUCGGGUUGUAAACCUCUUUUAGUAGGGAAGAAGCGAAAGUGACGGUACCUGCAGAAAAAGCACCGGCUAACUACGUGCCAGCAGCCGCGGUAAUACGUAGGGUGCAAGCGUUAUCCGGAAUUAUUGGGCGUAAAGAGCUCGUAGGCGGUUUGUCGCGUCUGCUGUGAAAACUGGAGGCUCAACCUCCAGCCUGCAGUGGGUACGGGCAGACUAGAGUGCGGUAGGGGAGAUUGGAAUUCCUGGUGUAGCGGUGGAAUGCGCAGAUAUCAGGAGGAACACCGAUGGCGAAGGCAGAUCUCUGGGCCGUAACUGACGCUGAGGAGCGAAAGCAUGGGGAGCGAACAGGAUUAGAUACCCUGGUAGUCCAUGCCGUAAACGUUGGGAACUAGAUGUAGGGACCAUUCCACGGUUUCUGUGUCGCAGCUAACGCAUUAAGUUCCCCGCCG